UUUCUAUUCAACACAUUCCUACCCAUGAACAAGUUAUUUAUGCUGAGUCUAUUUAACUUUGCUCUGUUACAACAAUUUUAGGACAGGAUCCAGACUCAUUUGUUUAUUUGAUUCCUUCUGCCUGUUGCAGAGUCCUCCCCAGAUGUGAAUUUCAUCAUGAUUGGAGUUUAGAUAUAAGGAAACACAACAGGAAACUGUGCCCAAGCUGAACAACUCCUUUGCUGUUCCUCUGAUUUCUCACUGGCCUUCAUGGAGAUGAAAUUUUUACACAUGGACUGGAUGUGCUCCUCGGUUUCACUUCUCAGAUACACAG